rnacentral:rRNA from 1 species
CAGCCGCCGCGGGAAUACAGAGGGUGCGAGCGUUAAUCGGAUUUACUGGGCGUAAAGCGUGCGUAGGCGGCUUCUUAAGUCGGAUGUGAAAUCCCUGAGCUUAACUUAGGAAUUGCAUUCGAUACUGGGAAGCUAGAGUAUGGGAGAUGAUGGUAGAAUUCCAGGUGUAGCGGUGAAAUGCGUAGAGAUCUGGAGGAAUACCGAUGGCGAAGGCAGCCAUCUGGCCUAAUACUGACGCUGAGGUACGAAAGCAUGGGGAGCAAACAGGAUUAGAUACCCCCGUAGUCCCUGUCUCUUAUAC